rfam:Cavia porcellus supercont2_5 genomic scaffold, whole genome shotgun sequence.
GGGGAUUUAGCUCAGUGGCAUAAGCACUUGCCUGGCAAGCAGGGGAUCGUGAGUUCAAUCCCUG